AUGUUAUCUACGGCUUGUUGUCUGGGAGAAACGAUCCAAACCAGUGUUAUCUACGGCUGGUUGUCUGAGAGAAACGAUCCAAACCAGUGUUAUCUACGGCUUGUUGUCUGGGAGAAACGAUCCAAACCAGUGUUAUCUACGGCUUGUUGUCUGGGAGAUCCAAACCAGUGUUAUCUACGGCUGGUUGAUUGUCUAUCGUAUGCUGAGAGAAUUAUGUUUUAAUAUUUUUACAUAAUGUGUUUCAUUUAUUUAACUUUACAGUUGUAGGUAAUCUAAACAUGUCUUGUGAUUGUUGUUGUUCAACCCCAAAGUGAUUUUGUUCAUUCUCUCUCCAGCCUCCCAGUCAGCCUAAAGGCUGGUUUACAUUCGAUCAAACAACAUGUCUGUAGACUACUAGAAUGUGACGUGUCCACAGACCGUCUUUAGAUCAACAGUAAAUCAACCUUAAGUUUGGAUCAUGUACUACUGUAUAGCAGCAGAUUGAUGAAAUGAGUUGUAUCCUGUUGUAGCUCACUGAAAUGAGUUGUAUCCUGUUGUAGCUCACUGAAAUGAGUUGUUUCCUGUUGUAGCUCACUGAAAUUAGUUGUAUAUGGUUGUAGCUCACUGAAAUGAGCUCUAUAAGGUUGUAGCUCACUGAAAUGAUUUGUAUCCUGUUGUAGCUCACUGAAAUGAGUUGUAUCCUGUUGUAGCUCACUGAAAUGAGUUGUAUCCUGUUGUAGCUCACUGAAAUGAGUUGUUUCCUGUUGUAGCUCACUGAAAUGAGUUGUAUCCUGUUGUAGCUCACUGAAAUGAGCUCUAUAAGGUUGUAGCUCACUGAAAUGAGUUGUUUCCUGUUGUAGCUCACUGAAAUGAGUUGUAUCCUGUUGUAGCUCACUGAAAUGAGUUGUACCCUGUUGUAGCUCACUGAAAUGAGCUCUAUAAGGUUGUAGCUCACUGAAAUGAGUUGUAUAAGGUUGUAGCUCACUGAAAUGAGCUCUAUAAAGUUGUAGCUCACUGAAAUGAGUUGUAUAAGGUUGUAGCUCACUGAAAUGAGCUCUAUAAGGUUGUAGCUCACUGAAAUGAGUUGUAUCCUGUUGUAGCUCACUGAAAUGAGUUGUAUCCUGUUGUAGCUCACUGAAAUGAGUUGUUUCCUGUUGUAGCUCACUGAAAUGAGUUGUAUAAGGUUGUAGCUCACUGAAAUGAGUUGUAUCCUGUUGUAGCUCACUGAAAUGAGCUCUAUAAGGUUGUAGCUCACUGAAAUGAGUUGUUUCCUGUUGUAGCUCACUGAAAUGAGUUGUAUCCUGUUGUAGCUCACUGAAAUGAGUUGUACCCUGUUGUAGCUCACUGAAAUGAGCUCUAUAAGGUUGUAGCUCACUGAAAUGAGUUGUAUAAGGUUGUAGCUCACUGAAAUGAGCUCUAUAAAGUUGUAGCUCACUGAAAUGAGUUGUAUAAGGUUGUAGCUCACUGAAAUGAGCUCUAUAAGGUUGUAGCUCACUGAAAUGAGUUGUAUCCUGUUGUAGCUCACUGAAAUGAGUUGUAUCCUGUUGUAGCUCACUGAAAUGAGUUGUAUCCUGUUGUAGCUCACUGAAAUGAGUUGUAUCCGGUUGUAGCUCACUGAAAUGAGUUGUUUCCUGUUGUAGCUCACUGAAAUGAGUUGUAACCUGUUGUAGCUCACUGAAAUGAGUUGUAUCCGGUUGUAGCUCACUGAAAUGAGUUGUAUCCUGUUGUAGCUCACUGAAAUGAGUUGUAACCUGUUGUAGCUCACUGAAAUGAGUUGUAUCCGGUUGUAGCUCACUGAAAUGAGUUGUAACCUGUUGUAACUCACUGAAAUAAGUUGUAUCCUGUUGUAGCUCACUGAAAUGAGUUGUAACCUGUUGUAGCUCACUGAAAUGAGUUGUAUCCUGUUGUAGCUCACUGAAAUGAGUUGUAUCCUGUUGUAGCUCACUGAAAUGAGUUGUAUCCGGUUGUAGCUCACUGAAAUGAGUUGUAUCCUGUUGUAGCUCACUGAAAUGAGUUGUAUCCGGUUGUAGCUCACUGAAAUGAGUUGUAUCCUGUUGUAGCUCACUGAAAUGAGUUGUAUCCUGUUGUAGCUCACUGAAAUGAGUUGUAUCCGGUUGUAGCUCACUGAAAUGAGUUGUAUCCUGUUGUAGCUCACUGAAAUGAGUUGUAUCCGGUUGUAGCUCACUGAAAUGAGUUGUAACCUGUUGUAGCUCACUGAAAUGAGUUGUAUCCUGUUGUAGCUCACUGAAAUGAGUUGUAUCCGGUUGUAGCUCACUGAAAUGAGUUGUAACCUGUUGUAGCUCACUGAAAUGAGUUGUAUCCUGUUGUAGCUCACUGAAAUGAGUUGUAUCCGGUUGUAGCUCACUGAAAUGAGUUGUAACCUGUUGUAGCUCACUGACAUUUCAGUUGUGAGGCAUGAGAUGAUUUAAAUAUUUUUGCAAACAUUUUGAGAACAAUAAAAUAUUUAUCCAAUUAAACGUUUGAGUCAGA
ensembl:lncRNA